UUUCUUAGGCCAUUUCUCCUUCGUAGGUUGAAAUCAGAUGUUGAAAAAGGUUUGCCUCCCAAAAAGGAAACCAUCCUGAAAGUAGGACUGUCCCAGAUGCAGAAACACUAAUCCAGGGCUUUGCUGCUAAAAGAUCUUGAAGUUGUUAAUGCUGGUGGACAGCUUUAGCAGCUUCUGAACGAUGCGAUGCGGCUCUGUAAAUGCUGUAAUCAUCCAUAUCUUUUCCAAGGUACAAUGUUCUCUUGGACAAAUUACUUCCAAAGCUGAAGGAGCCUGAUUCGAAAGUUCUGAUAUUUUCACAGAUAACAAGGCUGCUGGACAGGAUUGUGCUCAUAGGAUCGGUCAAAUGAAGGAAGUUCAAGCGUUCGGUUUUUGCAAGGAGGUUUGACAAUUGUCUUUGUUUGCCAACGGUCCAGAAGUUGCCUAUGCUCGGAUAGGCUCAUUUGUUCGUUUAUUAUGAAACCGUACACUGUGGACACGUAUUUAGUACCGGGGUAUUUAAAAUUUCUGAACUUGUCGUUUGUUCGCUGAUAAGAAUUGGGCUUAAAAUAAGAGUUUAGAUUGAUCUAUUUAAGUCUGAGUUGUAUUUUUGGGCCAUGAUACUUUGGGGCUUUUUUUUGGGCCAUAUUAUUUUUGAUUGACGAAAAGCUUAAAUUUUUUUUUUUUGAUUUUAUUUCAUUUGUUUCUGUAAAAAUACU